UCCCACCGGAAAACGCUGCCGAUGUGGACGCGCGCGAGGAUGAGGAGCCAUGCACGCGUCCGAGGAGCAUCUCACACCAACAGUCCCGCGUACCUCCUGUCUCCGCCGCUCAUUGGUCUCGCGCACGCAGUGUUGGGGGGUGGUGUGGUGGUAGUUUGCUCGCGCAAGCGCGGAUCACAUGACGGUUGGUUUUUUUUCUGGAGGCUGUGACGGUGUCUGAGGGUUGAGAGCUCGAGCAGGACCAGGAGGGAAAAAAGAAGCCACAUAAGAGCCGUUAGCGUGAGAUUGUGUGUUAGUGUGGAGGGAUCGUACUGCGCAGCAGAGAUAAACUCUCAUCAUUCACAUACGGGAGUUAAAAGAAAGAAAUCCCUCUGCGAAAAGCUUCCAGUAAAAGGACAAAAAAACCAAAAAGACAACCCAACAAGGAAAAAAAAAGACAAGGUUUGGGACCGAGAAGACGAGCGAGUGGCUGUUCAACACCGGAACUUUCUAAGCUUUCUCGUGUGUGCGUGUUUCUGGGGAGGGGGGGAAAGUUUUUUUGGAAUAUGGUUGGGGAAAUGGAAAAUAAGGAGCGACCAAAACCUACCCCAGACUAUCUCAUGCAACUGAUGAACGACAAAAAGCUGAUGAGUAGCCUGCCUAACUUCUGCGGCAUUUUCAAUCAUUUGGAGAGGUUACUGGAUGAAGAAAAACUAAAGAACUGAUCAAUUGACUUCAGAAAGAAAGGAGAACACGCCCCCAUCUACAUCAACAGAACUGAGGUUGAAAGGGUGAAGUGUCAAGUUUCUCAGUGACAGUAACCGACAACCUGUCUUGGACUUCCCACAUAGAUGUGACAGUCAAGAAGGCAUGACAAUGCCUCUUCUUCCUCAGGUGGCUCAGGAAAUUUGGCACGUCCAUGAGGACCCUCGCCAACAUUUACAGAUGCGCCAUUGAAAGCAUGCUGUUCGGGUGGAUAAUGGCCUGGUAUGGCAACUGCUUUGCCUAGGACUGUAAGAAACUACAGAAGGUUGUGUCCGCAGCCCAGACAAUCACGGAAGCCAACCUUCUAGCCAUAGACUCUGUUUAUACAGCUUGUUGCUGCAGAAAGGCUGCCAGCAUUAUCAAAGACCCAUCGCACCCCGGUAAUGAUCUCCUGUGCCUGAAGAGGUUGUAGAAGUUUGAGCGCACACCCUGACAGGCUCAGGAACAGCUGCUUCCUAGCUGUUAUAAGACUGAAUGGACUCUCGAGCCUCAAAUAAUGCUGAUCUUGCUAAUGUUGAUCUCGCCUAGUGCAUGCCCUGUGCAGUGUAACCUGUAUGCCUCAAGUUUUGUUUUACAACCUUUGAUCUGUACAUCCUUGCUUACUAUGAUCUGCCUCUACUGCUCAUAAAGCUUUUCACUGUACUCUGGUACAUGUCACAAUAAAUCAAUCAGUAAAUUAAUCAAUCACUUUGUUUUAGCAAAAUGGCAGGAUUAACAGUUUAACUAACUUCAUUGCUGCAAUGCGUUGCUGAUUUUCCAAGCUUGCAAAACUGAACAGCGUGGUGCUGAGCUAAGGCUGGGAUCGCUCUUGUUGUCGUCGUUGUGGUUGUAUCUAAAAGCCCAGUGAAAAGAAAACAUAUGCAUUCACUGGAAGAUAAUGCACCCCUGCAGAAAAAAUGCUUCCUUUGUCAAAAUGGGUAAAAUAAAUAAAGAAACUUGUUCCAGGUCA